CAUUUCGUUAGCGGUACCCGUAUAGUUUCACCCCGUCCCCGGGGAUCUGUAUCGGGGCCGUCCGGGUGCAAAGGGGGUGGGAAUCUACCCUUGGGUACGGAAUAACUCAGAGAAAUUUGUGCUAAUACCGUAUAAUGACUUCGGUCCAAAGAUUUAUCGCCCAAGGAUGAGCCCGCGUAAGAUUAGCUAGUUGGUGGGGUAAAAGCCUACCAAGGCGACGAUCUUUAGCUGGUCUGAGAGGAUGAUCAGCCACACUGGGACUGAGACACGGCCCAGACUCCUACGGGAGGCAGCAGUGGGGAAUAUUGGACAAUGGGCGAAAGCCUGAUCCAGCAAUGCCGCGUGAGUGAUGAAGGCCCUAGGGUUGUAAAGCUCUUUUACCCGGGAUGAUAAUGACAGUACCGGGAGAAUAAGCUCCGGCUAACUCCGUGCCAGCAGCCGCGGUAAUACGGAGGGAGCUAGCGUUGUUCGGAAUUACUGGGCGUAAAGCGCGCGUAGGCGGUUUUCCAAGUCAGGGGUGAAAGCCCGGGGCUCAACCCCGGAAUAGCCCUUGAAACUGGAAGACUAGAAUCUUGGAGAGGUCAGUGGAAUUCCGAGUGUAGAGGUGAAAUUCGUAGAUAUUCGGAAGAACACCAGUGGCGAAGGCGACUGACUGGACAAGUAUUGACGCUGAGGUGCGAAAGCGU
rnacentral:rRNA from 1 species